GAUGAACGCUGGCGGCGUGCUUAACACAUGCAAGUCGAACGAAGCACUUAAGAUUGAUUCUUCGGAUGACGUCUUUUGUGCCUUAGUGGCGGACGGGUGAGUAACGCGUGGGUGACCUGCCUCACACAGGGGGAUAACAGCUAGAAAUGACUGCUAAUACCGCACACCCCGAUAGGAUCGCAUGAUCCAGACGGAAAAGAUUUAUCGAUGUGAGAUGGACCCGCUUCUGAUUAGCUAGCUGGUGAGGUAACGGCCCACCAAAGCGACGUCCAAUAGCCGGGCAGAGAGGGUGAACCGCCACAUUGGGACUGAGACACGGCCCAAACUCCUACGGGAGGCAGCAGUGGGGAAUAUUGCACAAUGGGGGAAACCCUGAUGCAGCGACGCCGCGUGAGUGAAGAAGUAUUUCGGUAUGUAAAGCUCUAUCAGCAGGGAAGAAAAUGACGGUACCUGACUAAGAAGCCCCGGCUAACUACGUG
rnacentral:rRNA from 1 species